rnacentral:rRNA from 1 species
AUACGGAGGGUGCAAGCGUUAUCCGGAUUUACUGGGUUUAAAGGGUACGCAGGCGGUAAUUUAAGUCAGUGGUGAAAGCCUACAGCUCAACUGUAGAACUGCCAUUGAAACUGAAUUACUUGAGUAUGGUAGAGGUAGGCGGAAUACAACAUGUAGCGGUGAAAUGCAUAGAUAUGUUGUAGAACACCGAUUGCGAAGGCAGCUUACUAAACCAUUACUGACGCUCAUGUACGAAAGCGUGGGGAGCGAACAGGAUUAGAAACCCCAGUAGUCCC